CUGGGGGAUAACGUAGCGAAAGUUACGCUAAUACCGUAUACGAUCUACGGAUGAAAGCGGGGGAUCGCAAGACCUCGCGCGAAUGGAGCGGCCGAUAUCAGAUUAGGUGGUUGGUGGGGUAAAGGCUCACCAAGCCAACGAUCUGUAGCUGGUCUGAGAGGACGACCAGCCACACUGGAACUGAGACACGGUCCAGACUCCUACGGGAGGCAGCAGUGGGGAAAUUUUGGACAAUGGGCGCAAGCCUGAUCCAGCCAUUCCGCGUGCAGGAUGAAGGCCUUCGGGUUGUAAACUGCUUUUGUACGGAACGAAACGGUCUGCCCUAAUACGGUGGGCUAAUGACGGUACCGUAAGAAUAAGCACCGGCUAACUACGUG
rnacentral:rRNA from 1 species